rnacentral:rRNA from 1 species
GACGAACGCUGGCGGCGUGCUUAACACAUGCAAGUCGAACGGUGACCCAGGGCUUGCCCUGGUGAUCAGUGGCGAACGGGUGAGUAACACGUGGGGCAACCUGCCCCUGACUUCGGGAUAACUCCUCGAAAGAGGAGCUAAUACCGGAUACGACCACUUCGGACAUCCGAUGGUGGUGGAAAGUUCUUCGGUCAGGGAUGGGCCCGCGGCCUAUCAGCUAGUUGGUGGGGUAAUGGCCUACCAAGGCGACGACGGGUAGCCGGCCUGAGAGGGCGACCGGCCACACUGGGACUGAGACACGGCCCAGACUCCUACGGGAGGCAGCAGUGGGGAAUAUUGCGCAAUGGGCGAAAGCCUGACGCAGCGACGCCGCGUGAGGGAUGAAGGCCUCGGGUUGUAAACCUCUUUCAGCAGGGACGAAGCGAAAGUAGACGGUACCUGCAGAAGAAGACACCGGCGUAACUACGUGCCAGCAGCCGCGGUAAU